AGCCCUUUGGAACCUAACUUCUGUAAGAAUUGUGCAUACUCCUAGUCUCUCAUUUCUCAUCUCCUAUUUUCAGAUCAACCCGUUAUCAUCUGGCUUUCUUCCCUUCAUUCAUAUCUCAUCCCAAUGGUACAUGCCAUUAUGCAAUAUGUAAUUCAUAAAUAUUUGGUGAAUGAAUCAAACUUGUUUUGCCCCACCUCCCCACUAUCUUCAGCCAAGUUUAUCAAAAACCUCACUGUUGCUAUAUCCAACAAACGUUGCUCAUUUCUUAUCAAAUGGGCUUAUUCGCAGCAUAUGACACUGCUGUCAUCAUGUCUUCUGGAUUCCUCUUUUUUUUCCCUAUAACAGCUCUAUCAAGCUAUAAUUCACAUGCCUGAAAAUUCACCUUUUUUUGAAGUGUACAAUUGAGCGAUCUGUAGUAUAUUCACAGAGUUGUGCAAGCUUAACCACUAACUCCAGAACAUUUACAUCACUUCAAAGAAACCCCAUACCCUAUAGCAGUCACUCUCAGUUCUCUUCUUCCACCCAUUCCCUGGCGACCACUAAUCUACUUUCCGUCUCUAUGGAUUUGACUACUCAGGACAUUUUAUAUCAUGAAUCCAUUUGGAGAGGAAGCCUCAGGACUUCCAAAGACAUUACCUUGUCAGGAUGCUCCCAGAAAUGAUCAACAAAAAAGGAAAGAUCAAAAGAGAGAAAGAGAAAGAAGGAGGAAGGAAGAAAGGAAGGAAGGUAGGUAGGAAGGAAGGAAGGAAGGAAGGAAGGAAGGAAGGAAGGAAGCAAGCUAGCUGCAGAAAAACUCACUAUCCAGACAAGACAUCUGCUCAAUUUUGGAUUGUAUCAUUCCAGAAUUUUCCACAACAUACUUAACUAGCUUCUAAUUUUUUAAUUAAAACAUUUCUAACAUUGUGCUAUUUUAAAC